rnacentral:lncRNA from 1 species
AACUGCUCAUCCCACUGCUGGGUUUUGGAAAAUGAGUCUAAACCACUAGAACAGUCACAUCCCAAAUGGAUGAAUUUAUCCCUGUAAUUGACUAUUGCAUUCCAGUCUCUCCUGGUUUUCUGACUCCCUUCCUAUCUAUUCCUGUCCAGGACUAGUCAAGCAACAUCCCAGUGAAGCACUGAGGCUCUCCAUGCUGGAUGAGAGGUGUGAGAGGAUCUCUGCUGUCUGCUGGAGGAGUGGCCAUCACAGAGACACCUUUUGCUUCAGGCUCAAAUUGUGCUGUGUCCUGUAUUCAAUCGGUUAUGCUGGCAACACCAAGUACACAUGAUGGUGAUGAGCUGGAAGGACGCACUGCAUGGAGCUAUGGCUUAAUGAGGUAUUUCAGGGCUGGAGCUGUGACUGAUUUCAGCAUGUCCACGUGGCAGCUGGUGUUGGGGGGAUGUGCAAGGGUGGCAAGGACACCCUAGGGUGCUAGUAUAGAUGCUGGGAGGGGAGGUGUGAGGUUAACUCGUUGUAUAGACGGGUAUGAACAGAGUAGAUCUGGGCAGAGAUUGAGGCUUAGAGAGGGAGGAAUGAUUUGCGAGGCAAGAUUCACCAGUGCCUCUCCUGGAAAAUAGCUUUUAUUUAACUUGAAAAACAUGCCAAUAACAGAAAGCAUAACUCAUUUCAUGAAAGUUAUGGUUGGCUGUAAAAUAGAAUACAGAAAAUUUUCCUACUCAAGCUGAAAUGUUUUUCUUUUAAUUCUUCGGUAUUCUCUCUGCAGCAUUAUAAACUCUAAUUCAUGCCUUGGCCUAGGCUCUGAGAUCUAGCUGUGCUCAGCUGAAUGAGGUCCACUUUCAGAACUUCAGAGAUCCUGUCACACACCUUCCAUAGCAUUAAAAAAUACCACAUGCCAGUUGGUUUUUUGCAUUUAUGAGACCUAUGGCUUUAGGGGAAAGGCAGAGAGGAGGACUGGAAGGUAAAUAGCAAACUAAAUGGGUUUUAACUGCUGCAUGUUGUUUUAAAUAUCCUUUUAAAAACUAAUAUUGUAAACUGAGAUGGGCUCCAAGUUCAGGGGAUUGCAUAUGCCAUUUAUUUUCUUUUCAGGUAGUUCUCUUAGACCAUAUAGUUCCGGCUGUGAUUUAACAUUGAGAGGUUAAAUGGAACCGUAUGUAAUUAGACAUCGGGCAACAUAACGAUGCAGAUUUCAAAACCGUCUCCUAUUUUCUGCUGGGAAAUGGCUUUAUGUGAACAUCCCUUACAGUUUUUGAGCUGCAGAAACUCCCCCAAACCAAUUUCCCCAUGGACUCCCAUGCUGUGAAGGACGUAUUGCUGGGGAUGAGCAGGGUGCUGGGGCAGGUUAGGUCCCACCCAAGCCUGGUUUGUGUACAGAGCCCCAUUCUUGCUUCCAAGUAUGCUUCCCAAGCUGAGAGAUGUAGAGAAGAAACAAGGAAAGUGUUGUUUUGUGAGAUCCGAACAGCACUGGGGCUUUUGACUUUGGACAUGUCAUGAUCUCAGAUUUUGUUUUCAUUCUGAAACAGCAUAAAACAAAUGCUUUGGAAAUUUUCAAGGAGCAAAAUUAAAAUAAACGCCAGUUAUGUUUUCUUUUUGGUGUUCUG